GGCGAGUUCUUGUUCUGGACUUGACGUUGUUGGGGAUCCACUCCACAAAGUAGGACGAGUUCUUGUUCUGGACAUUAAUCAUUUGCUCAUCAACCUCCUUAGUGCUCAUC